GCAGUCGUGGCUGAGUGGUUAGGGCGAUGGACUUGAAAUCCGUUGGGGAUACCCUCGCACAGGUUCGAAUACUGUCGACUGCG